AGCGAACGUUAGCGGCGGGCCUAACACAUGCAAGUCGAGCGAGAACGGGGCUUCGGCUCCUAGUAAAGCGGCGGACGGGUGAGUAACACGUAGGUAAUCUUCCCUUGAGCGGGGGACAACGGUCCGAAAGGACCGCUAAUACCGCAUACGUUCUCCGAGACUCCGGCCUUGGGGAGGAAAGCUAGGUAGCAAUAUCCGGCACUCGAGGAGGAGCCUGCGUCGCAUCAGCUAGUUGGUGGGGUAAUGGCCUACCAAGGCGAAGACGCGUAGCUGGUCUGAGAGGAUGAUCAGCCACACUGGGACUGAGACACGGCCCAGACUCCUACGGGAGGCAGCAGUGGGGAAUCUUCCGCAAUGGACGAAAGUCUGACGGAGCAACGCCGCGUGAGUGAAGAAGGUCUUCGGAUUGUAAAGCUCUGUCGUUUGGGACGAACGUAUCCUGUGUGAAUAAUGCGGGAUAAUGACGGUACCAAAGGAGGAAGCCACGGCUAACUACGUGCCAGCCGCCGCCGUAACAC
rnacentral:rRNA from 1 species